rnacentral:rRNA from 1 species
UUGUUUUCUUUCUUGUUUUGGUUUUAUUGUGAUUUAUUUUGGUUUUGUUGAAGUAUCAUUUUUGUUGUUGUAUAUUUUUGAUUUGAUUUAUUUUGCGAUAGUUUAUUUGUACUGUGGGGGGUUGUUAGUUUGUUUUUAGAAGUUGAUUUUGUUUGUUGUACCUUGUGUAUCAGGGUUUACUGAAUUUUAUUAUUUAUUUUUAUUUCCCGAUUUUAAAGGAGUUAGUGGUUUAUAUUAGUUGCUGUUUCAUUAGUAUUAAUAAUAUUCUGUUGGUAGUGAAAUGUUAAUCGUCUUUGGUGGUUUCUGGUUUUCCAAGAAAUGAAUUUAAUUCAUGCGUCUUAUCUAUAUUGUUUGUUGUAAGUUUAUCAUAUUUUAUGGGGCGUUAAGAUUGAGGGGGAUUAGCUCUUCAUUUUAUUUUUAUAAUUUUUGUUUUUAUUUAGUUUUGUGGAUUUUAUGUUGAUUUUCAAUUUGAUUAUGUUAAAAUUUUAUUNNNNNNNNNNNNNNUGCUGUCUUAUAUUUAUGAAUUUUUUAUUGAAUUUGGUUUUUGAGUUAAAAUUCUUAAAUGUUUUUAUGGGACGAGAAGACCCUAUAGAGUUUUACAUUCGGCGUGUAGCUUGUUUAUUUGUUUGUUAUGUUUUUGCUUUGUUCUGUAUGUUUUGUUGGGGUGAUGGGAAGAAUUUUAUUAACUCUUCUUUGUUUUGAUGAUAUAUUUAUUUAUAUUUUUUUGAUCCAUUUAUUUUGAUUAUAAGAUUAAAUUACCUUAGGGAUAACAGCGUUAUCCUCCUUGAGAGUUCUUAUUGGCGGGAGGGUUUGCGACCUCGAUGUUGGAUUAAGGUUAAUUUUUGGUGUAGAAGCUGAAUUGAUUGGGUCUGUUCGACCUUUAAAUCCUUACAUGAUCUGAGUUCAAACCGGCGUGAGCCAGGUUGGUUUCUAUCUAUAAUGAUUUUUUAUAUCUUAGUACGAGAGGACCGGGUAUUUGGAAUAAUUUUAUUUUAUUGUAUAUUAUUAAUUGUU